CCGAAACGUCAGCCUUCCUGCUCCUCUGAUGCUGCUUGGCCUGCUGUGUUCAUCCAGCUCUACACCUUGUUAUCUCUACACAAGAUUCAAGAAUCCAUCUUCUUAAACUACAUUUGCACUUUGAACUCUCACUGGGCAAUUACAGUGUCGAUAAAGACAACAAAAAAGUGCUACAUCAGACGGAACAAUAAAUUGCUGCUCAGUGGACUAUCAAGAACAGGUCAACAGUCUUUGGAAUGCUCUUCCUCAAAAGGUGUUGGAAGCAGAAUCCUUAAAUAUUUUAAGACAGAGGUAAAUAGAUUCUUCCUGAACAAGGGGAUGAAAAAUUAUUGGAGGUAAUCGGAUCUGUCGUGAUCUUAUUGAGUAGCAGAGCAUGCUCAAGGUGCCAAGUGGGCUACUCCUCAUUCUAACUUGGAUAUUCAAAAUAAACGUGGUUUCUACACUGUUAAUGUGUAGAAUAUGAAAAGGUCCAUAUUUUCUUCUGGCAUGAGCUAAUAAUUUACGGAUGAUACUUGAUUUUUAAAAUAAUGUUUGUAAAUUUAUUGUAUUUAAUACUGAAAAAGCAGCAAAAUAUUAUAGCUUCCUUGCAUAUCCGUUAACAUUGUUGAGGUUUUAGUGGUGACAAUCUUAGAGGGAAAAAAAGUUUGAUAAUCAGGCAGUUCACUAGCUAGCUAAAUGCUUGUCAAACAUACAAGUGGAAUGGGUAACUGACUGUAAAACUGGCCAAAACAAAGGACAGACAUGAUUUUUGUUUCAAAAAUCCUAAACUAAAUAUAUUAAAUGUAUAAGGAAAAGACAGCUGCAAAACUGUGAUUUAACUGCUGUUAAAAAGCAGAUAACUGCAAUACUUCAAAAUCUGAAAGCAAAAUAUUGUAAAUGGGUGUCAACAUCUAAAAAAAGGGAAGACAGUCGAAUGACUUCAAUUCUGACAAUGGUUUACAUCCAUUAAAAAUAGGGUUGUAUCUUUCUGCAGGUGCAAACACAUACGCUAUGACUUUCCCUUUUAUUUAACUUAAUGGAGUUUGCAGAGUUGGCAUCACAAUCAGUGGGAACUAUUGAGAACUUUAAUCCAAAUCCAAGAAUGGGUUGACCUGAAUUUUGCAGUCAGCGGUGACAUAACAGCACUUAUUGCUGCUCUCAAAGAAAACUGUCCAGUGAUUUAGUAAUCUCUGUAGGCUUAAUUUCAACUUUCCCAGCACUUGUGUGGAUGUGGUGCUAACUAUAGGGGACACCUGGUACGCAGCAGAGAUGUUUUCAAGCAAGGUAAACAGCUAUUCUUGGACACCAUGAAGUAACAAGCAGGUUCUAUCAUUCAUGUCUUAAAAGUUUUUUUGAAGCAGAAAGUGAAAGAGAGACUGGGACAUACACAUUACAUUAAAAGGUAGUUGCUGAAAUGUCAAGCAUUAAAAAUAAUUUUGUUUUAAUCAUUUAAAAAAUCAUUAGGUAGCACAAACUUGAGGGUUUAAAAAAGAUGUUUCAUCAAAACUCUUCAUUUUACACUCAUUAAGUCAGUUCACAAGAAAUACCAAUGUAAAGGGAAAAUUAUAUUUAUACUGUAUGAUAGUGCUGAUUCGUUAAUAAAUGACUGUUAUAAACAUUGCCAUGGAGAAUGCACCAGAAAGAUGAUGACUGACAGUUAACUGCCAGGUUUUAUUUAAGUUUUAAACCAGGCAAGUCUACUUUCUGACUGAUCAAGGGAUUUCCCUACGGAAUAAACCAAAGAAUUACCAUCACCUAUAUAGUUGAAUUGAAACAGAUGCAAUGUGUGUAUGUUACUUCUGUCUGUAAAAAAUGGACUGUAUGUAUUAAACCUGCCUUGUUCAUAAUUUAAACAAAGCUUUGCAGUUAACUGUUGUCAUCAUUUAUCUUGUGCAUUGUCCACAGCAACACUUCUACCAAUCAGAAUCCACUUGUCAACAAGUCAGCACUCUCACACAGAAUAAAUGUUAUUUUUCUAUAAUAUUGGUAUUUCUUCACAAUUAGCAAUAUUCAAAUUCUCAAAUCUAUAAAAAUCAUAAAGUUGAGAAAUUUGACAAUCCGCAACUAAGAAAAUUUGGUUAUUUUAGGACCAAGAAGUUCUUUAAGAGUAAUUAUGAAGUUACCCAAAUCCACCUCAUUCAAUGUGUACCUUCUUAAAGUUUUUUUAUAAACACUAUUAGUUCAGCUGUAAAGGUGCAAAUGUAUAUCAAUGCAGUGAUUUCUAAUUAAUUACCAACUAGACUUGAAUAGCAAAUGCUUGGAAGAGCGAUGAAAUCACAAAGUAGCUUCAAAAUUUAAUGGAAUAUAUAUUGAUACCACAAGUUGCCAUCAUUUUCACUGAGUAAUAAUGGAAAAUGUUAACAGUUCUAACAUCAUUACAACUCCAAACUUUCAACUAACAUAGCUGAAGUUAUUCACCACCUUUAAUAUCAAUAAUUUAAAAUCUAUUUGAAAAAGUUACACAACGAGCUUAUCCUUUCUGUGGCUAUUAAGGCUACCGACUUCUAAUGUUCUGUCUCUCCCAACGGUGGAGGCACAGUGGGGAUUCCAGUGGAACAGCAUUGUAAUGUUAGAAGUUGCUACUUAUCAGAUCACGCUCAACUCAGAAGUGCUUUGAUAAUUUCACAUGAAAAAUGACUUUUGCCAGAUUGUAAUUUCCACUUCAAUGUAAAAUUAUACAUGCAUCAUAUAUUGAAUAAUAAAGAUUACACUUUGUCAGGAAUUUUAAGUCGAUAUAUCCGACUGAAAGAAGCAGUUGAAGGGAGGGAAUUUAACUAAACAUACAGUUGAGGCUGAAGAACCUUUAAGUUAAUAACUGCACUUGCAAUGCAUAUUUUGCAUUCUACAAUAAUUCUAAACCCUUUCCCAUGACCAUAUUCGAGAGAUAGUGAGGUGAAAGGGUUUCAGAAAGGAUUUCUAAAGCUUAGUGUCCAGCCACCUGAAGAUUUAAUCCAUAUCCUUUUAGCUUUGAGUAAUUACAAAGUUAUUUAUUAUUAUUGGAUAAUCUUGGCUUCAAAUUUAAAAUCCUCAUCCGUUUUCAAUCCCUCCACAGCCUCAUUAAUCGCAUUUCUAUAAUCUCCUCCAGCCUCACAACCCUCAACAUCUAUGUUGCUCCAAUUCUGACCUCCUAUGAAUCACCAAUUUCAAAUAAUCUGCCAUUGGCAGCCAUGCUUUUAGUUGACUGGGCCCUAAUUUCUGGAAUUUAGACCAGAACCCUCAAUCUCUUUAUUCUUUCUUGGCCUUCCAAGAGCCUACCAAAACGUAUGCCCUUGACCAAGCUUCCUAAUAGAUCUUCACAUGGCAAAAAAUUAGUCACACCUGUAAAAUACCUUGGGAGGUUUUACUACAUUAAAAGGUGCCAUAUAAAUGCAUGUUACAGUUAGCGUUGUUAAAUUCCUGUUGAAACAAUUGUAUGUGAGUAACUGAAGUCACAGUAGGUAAAUGUAAUUAGCUUGGCACUCUCUCACUAUCCUAGGACUUUAAUAACAAUGCAGCAUGCAAUGAAUUUGCUGUGUAAUCAUACGCAAUGAUUCAUAGAGAAGGUUUUUUUUUAAAAGUGCUAACAUACAUAAGAGAAAACAGUAAGCUUCCAACAGUGUAUCAUCAUAACACAUCCAAACACCUAAAAACCAUAUCAAAUUAUUGCUUUCAGCCACUGUUUUGAAAAGUUUGUUGAUUUGUAUCAAUAUGCACUCGAUGAUAAAGAGAAAGAAGCAAUUAUGCAGUGACUAAUUCACAAUCAAGUUUCAAAAUGAAUAUGUCCUUUGCAGAGCUGAGGUCAGUUUUACUUGUUGGAAAAUCUCAUCACAGAGAAAGACAAAAAUGAUCAUAACUCAAAACAUAGCUCAAAAUACAAUCCUACAGCACAGAAAGUUUAAUUCUUUGUGCACUGAGUUUCAAAAAGGGAACUUUUUAUUGUGGAUGUAGCAACACAAUGACUAUCACUGAAACAUCUUAAUGCAAUAAAGUGUUGUAUAUAUGAAAAUUCUUCUUGGACAAGAUUUACAAAAUGGAGACCAAAAUUGCUGCCUGUUUUCAGAGUUUAAAUUAUGGAUUAAAAAACUGGCUUUGAUUUCAGUUUAACUAAUCCAAACCUGGUCAAUUAAACACUGCCAGACCUAAAAAGUAAGUUCAACAAAGAUAAGAAUAACAAAGAUAAGAAUUUCAAAAACAAAG